CGAAGCGAGGGCUGCACACUAGCUUACUAUAAAUGUUGUUUCCUAUUUGUAUUGGAGGGACAACUUAACAAUGUAAAAUAAUAAAAAUGAUUAAGGGGUAAUUUUAGAUUUAAAGAAAACUUCUCUAGAAACUUCAUCUGCUUUUAUUCUCACAAUUUCUUCCUUUCUUUUCAAAAUCUCACUGACUUAUAUUGCUAUGGCCAUCAAAAUCCCAGACUUCGGAGUAAUGAUUAUAAAUAUAUAGUCGAAUACUAUGUUUCUCAUUGUUUAGUAUACAAGAACAAUGCAAAAAUAGGGCAAAAGUGGGAAGCCAACUUUGUGAAUUGAUGCCAUUGAUCGUGGUUCAUCAAAAUGGAAAGGAACUGAUAUUUUGGUCUUCAACACUACAUAUUAGUGGUCUUAUUACAAAACAAAAGCUAGGUUAGUGGCCAUUACAUUAUCAUACUAUGAAUCUUUAAGAAAACGUUGGCUAGUAUACUUUAAAGUUAUAGUGUGAUCUUCUUUUCAAGGUUCCAAUCCUACAUUAACCGUAAGUUGGAAAGUUCAACCAAGUUCUUUUUAUUAGGAAAGCAUGUUAAGCUGUUCUUUUAAGAAUUAGGAUGACAUUGCUAUGAUAUGCACAUAUGGGCUAAACCUUUAUAUGCUCUUGUCAUAAGGUUGAUGUCUACUGGCAAUUUCCAUAUCUUAGGAUCAACUAUUAUCAGGAAAGAAACCAAGUACAUCCUCGACUUGAUGUCUCUACAGCUUUCAAAAAAGCUUUAAUAACAUGGGUAGCAUGGAUUGAUAGACACAUUAAUCCAGGCAAAACACAAGUUUUCUUUUGAAAUUCAACAUAUUCUCAUUUCAGGUUUGCUGUUGUUUAUGCUGCUAUGAACUUUCCUUUCUUUAACAUUUACUUAGAUGGAUUACUAAGUAGGCUCUGAUCAUUCAUUGUAUAGGGGAGGACAGUGAAAUUCAGGUGGCCACUGUAUGGAAGCUGCUUGGCCCCUUAAUGACACUUCAAAUAUGAUAUACCCUGAGAAGAACAAAAUUGUGGAGAAAGUCAUUUUGCAGAUGAAAACUCCUGUAACAUUGCUGAAUGUGAUUAAUUUAUUUGUGUACAGGACAAAUGGUAAUUCGACAAUAUACGGUGACCUUGAUAGCUUAGUUGACCUAGAUCUCAACAGUAAUGACUUAUUGGGGUCGAUGCCACAAAUCUUUAGAGGGCUAAGAAAUUUACAAAGAAAUAAUCUUCAAGAACAACGAUGUCGAUAAGUCCCUACUGGUCAAAUUAUUCCAUACUCCAAAUCAAUUUUAGAUUAUAGUAUUUUCAUAAUUAAAACAAGAUAGCAACAUAGUGCGGGCCUGCCCGCUAAUCUCGAAUAAUAUUGCGAGGGCAAAUAAAUAUCUAUUGUUCUGGUUGAAAACCUCAAAACCGAAGUAUCGAAAAUUCCGGAAGUCAAAACCCUAAAACUUCCAAAAAUCUCAUUGCACAAUUUCACAAGAACGCGAACCAUAUCCUUAAAACCGUAACACCCCUCCUCCACAAUCUGAACGCAACCAUAAUGGCACCCGGUCUGAAAACGAUUUCGGACCACCCUUCCACUUCCCGCAAGCGCCUCCUGUCCGAUAGCGCCAAGCCCAAAACUCCUACGCCGUUGAAUCCCUAUCCACUCAAAAAGACCCGGAACCUCCCCAACUUAACCGAAUGCCAAGCCUGUGGAUCCCGAACUGACAGCGCUAACGGCAAAAACCGAAUUCAAACGCUUUAUAGCGAGUGGCGCAUUGUUCUUCUCUGCCCAAGAUGCUAUCAUCGCGUUGACUCAUCCCAUAUCUGCACUUAUUGUUUCAAAGAAGCCUCCGACGAUUGCUUUUCUUGUGAACAAUGUAAGCGAUCCGUUCACAAAACUUGUUUUUUAGAUUACAAAUCUGUUCCGCCGUGGUCGUACUCUGUUUGUGGUUCUGAAUUCACGAUUUGCAUCGAUUGUUGGGUCCCCAAACAGAUUGCCUGCAAAAGGGGGAUUUUGACGCGCAAUAGAAAAGCUAACAAUUCUAGAGAUUCUGAAGUUAGGAAUUUUGGGGGGGCCAAGUUGUUGGAAGAUGUAGUGAAAGAUGCGAAUUGUUCAAUGGAGAAGAAGGUUGAAGCCACAGUUAAGGCAAGGGAAAUGGCGGUUAAGAAAGCCGUUGUGGCUAAGCAGGCAGUGGAAUUGGCAAGCAAUGCAUUGGAAGAGUGUGAUGAUGCUGAAUUGGCAUUUCGGUUGCACAGGGCCAUGAAUAGUUCACCUAGGAUUUCAAAAAAUAGAAAUUUGUGUGAUAAAAAUGGCUUAGAGCCUUUGAUUGCUGGUAGUAGUAGGGCUUUCAGUUGUUUGAAACGACCAGAGAUAGUUUAUGCCCGGCGUAGAAAGAAACCAGCUGAGAUAGUUUAUGCUUGGUGUAGAAAGAAAGCAAGUGAGAUAGUUUAUACACCGCGUAGAAAUAAGCCAAAUGAGAUGGUUUAUGUACAAUGUGGAAAGAAAUCACAUAAGUUAGUUUAUAAACGGCAUAGCAAGCACAGUGAAAGCAAGGAAAUAUCUGGUGUUGAAAUAGGAAUGAAGGAGAGAGAAGAGAGCUGUUCUAGUUUGUUGUCCAACUCAAGUGGGGUUGAUGGUAGCAUGAACUCUGAGUCUAAGCCUUAUAAUUACCAAGAUGAGUCUAUUGUCUUUAAUGAUACACAGUCAGAUGGGAAACUUGUUCAAUAUUUGCUAACAUACAGUAGGAAGAAACCAAACUGGAAGGAAUCUCCAAAUGGCAAUUCCAAGUUCCUUUAUGAAGGAUGUAACCUUGAAAGUCAGGCUACAUCCCCUCAACUGCCAGAAUCUUUAAUGAUCUCGACUACUACACUCCAGUGUUCUGCUUUUCCUCAUCAAGCCUAAGCUGGUGCAAGUGACUCAUGCCUAGAUCACUCCUAGACUGAAGAAGAAUUGUUUUCCUUGUGCUGGGUUGUGGAUUAUUUGUCUGGGAUGCUUUAGAUAUUCCUAGCUCUGCUUGGUGUCCUUCAUAAGAGUUGGAUAUCAUAACUGCGCCAGUGGAGGAAAAGUGCUGCUGAAGUUGGUCUUUUAACUUCUGGAGGUUUCUGGUUGCAAUUUGAAAAGUCUUCUCACCAUGGGAAUAUCCACAUAUUGGAUGCCCAUUUGAAGAUGAUUUACUCAUUGCAAAAAAGCACUUGAUAAAAAUCUGUCAUGGACUGUUGUCCCCUGAAGAGUGAAGACUAAUGGAGUCGCUGCAAAAUGGGUAAGUUGUUCACUGGUGCUUUGUAAGAGGCAAAAUUUUGUUGCAAGGAAUGUGAUUGUGGCUAACAAGCACAAAAGCAAGGUUCAGUUUAGCAUUGAAAGUGGUGACAUCAUUCAAAAUUGCUAAAUGGAAGGAUUUUUUCUGGAUCAUCUCUUGAAAAACCUUGGUUAGGCAAGAUCAUGACUAGUGAUGCAUAUCUCAUAUUCCAAGAUGCACACGAGUUUUGGGCAUGCAGCUUCACAAAAUUGAAGGCAUAUAUGCCUAAAUAUCUAUACAAUUGUAAUUGUCUAUAGAUAUGCAAUAAAAUGUGUUCAUUUGAGUAGCUUGGCUUGUCAUUACUUCCUAUUCUUUUUUAUUUGGUACAUAUUUUUAUUGAUUUAUUCAGAUAUUUGACAUUAUAUUCUUGGUUAUUGUUUGAACUUUUUGGAAUUAUUGAGAGAAACACUGACAUAAGUUCACAUUGAAAGAUGAUAAUGAGUCUUACGGCAUAUUAACAACAUUGCUAAAGGUAUUAACUUUCUUAGAAAGGAAAAUUAGGAGAAAAAAUGAAUUGCCAAUGUGAAUCUCUAUUUCGCUUCACUCACAAUGUUUCCAAUGCCUCUUUGAUUCACUAUUCUCUAAAUACAAUAUUGUAGCAAAGACCUAAAAAUUAGGAAAUGCUGAAGGGUGUGAAAGCAGUUGCUGGAAACACAAGUCAUAUGAGGUAUUGUCUUCAUUAAGUGACUAAGUGACUAUGUUGGACAUUUCCUUAAUUUCUGUUUAGAGUUACAAGUAGCCAUGUAGUGCUCAAAAUGCUUGGUGAAUUGAUUUUAGGCUGCUGAGUAAUAGCACACUGUUUGGCCUCCAGUAAACCUUAUUUUAAACUUUGGAUAUGCACCUGGGGGAUAACCUUUAAGAAUGAAUGUGUUGAUAGCAUGUAUGUUGAGUAUUAUUUAUUGAUUUAUUCCUGUAUAAAUCGAAACAUAUUAGUAAGAAUCAGAGUUUGAACUGCUUGUAGUUUGUAUGAUAUGAGUGCAUAUUUAGAAAAGAUUCAUGAUUUUCUGUAUGCGCUUUGG